rnacentral:rRNA from 1 species
CUAUCCCCUGUUUCCAGCGGAUAAUGCCGGGCACUCUGGGGAAACUGCCGGCGACAAGCCGGAGGAAGGUGGGGAUGACGUCAAGUCCGCAUGGCCCUUAUGUCCAGGGCUACACACGUGCUACAAUGGGCGCUACAGAGGGUUGCAAACCCGCGAGGGGGAGCCAAUCCCUAAAAGCGCUCUCAGUUGGGAUCGGAGUCUGCAACUCGACUCCGUGAACCCGGAAUCGCUAGUAAUCGCGCAUCAGCUACGGCGCGGUGAA